UUGGCACUGACACUUGCUUGGGAUCUUAAUGACGCUCAGAGCAAAGGUGGAUUUUCUUAGAAAAUGUAUGAGAAGAGCUCUCCGAGAAUACUGUGUAAGAACAACUGCUGACAUCUAGUAAGAUUCCUUGUUGGGUAUCACUUUGAGAUAGCUCAACCUCACUUCUGACCCAGGAAUGGCUCCUGAGGAGUGGAGUCCAGGGAAUUACAUCCCAAAACAGGGACGCUUGUUUGCUGAUUACGUCACAUUAAAAUCUUCCCACCGCGGACUCGCUGGGUGUAGAUGGCGUACGGGAAGGAAGAGUCCACCGUGCUAACGAUCUGUACUUCACGCUCAGGAGCAGAGGGCAGAAAGAGAGGCAAACAGAUCCUACCACGGCUGUCAGUUUCCAAGGAGUGACCAGGAGUGGGAAGGCGCGCAGAGUCCCACCAGCUGACAAAGCAGAGAGGGACAGUGUGCAGGAAGAUCUGAAACAAGAUCUGUCUCCAGACCUUGGCCUCAUCUUACAGGAAGGACUUCAGAGAGGACAACUUUACCAACUGAAACCUUGGAAUAACUGACAGGGACUAUGAG
rnacentral:lncRNA from 1 species